rnacentral:rRNA from 1 species
UUAACUGAAUCCAUAGGUUAAUGAGGCGAACCGGGGGAACUGAAACAUCUAAGUACCCCGAGGAAAAGAAAUCAACCGAGAUUCCCCCAGUAGCGGCGAGCGAACGGGGAGCAGCCCAGAGCCUGAAUCAGUGUGUGUGUUAGUGGAAGCGUCUGGAAAGGCGCGCGAUACAGGGUGACAGCCCCGUACACAAAAAUGCACAUGCUGUGAGCUCGAUGAGUAGGGCGGGACACGUGGUAUCCUGUCUGAAUAUGGGGGGACCAUCCUCCAAGGCUAAAUACUCCUGACUGACCGAUAGUGAACCAGUACCGUGAG